rnacentral:misc_RNA from 1 species
AUUAGUUUUGAGGUUGUGGAUGGAGGAAUGAUCUGCUCAAGCGGUACAUGUCUGGAGGCAAUGGGAGAUAAGAACGAAGAUUGUUACAUUGUUAAUGCUGCAGUUUAUGUUGGUUAUUAAUCAUCUGAAGACUUCUCCAAUUAAGGGUUUUGCACAUUGUAAUAAUUUCCGAUAUUCCGUAAAUGGUAUCAAUAUUUGAACUGUCUCGACUUUUUUG